rnacentral:piRNA from 1 species
AUUGGAUAUUCCGAAUGCUAUCACAGGG